rnacentral:lncRNA from 1 species
AGUUUGGAUAGUCAAGAGCAAGUGAGGGUUGACUUUGGUCAAAGUUGACCAAAAAGUCAAUUGUUGACCAAAGUCAACAAAUGGUCAAAAUGUAUUUUCUUUGUGAUUUCUUUGUAAAUGGAUAUUCAAUGUACUAUUAUGGGCGAAUUUAGGGUUUAAUGGAUUUGGGUUGACUUUGGUCAAAGUUGACCAAAAAGUAAAUUGUUGACCAAAGUCAACAGUUUGGUCAAAAUGUCAAAUUUGUAUUUUCUUAUGUAAUGACAUGAAAUG